rnacentral:rRNA from 1 species
UACGUAGGGGGCAAGCGUUAUCCGGAUUUAUUGGGCGUAAAGAGCUCGUAGGCGGCCGUUCGCGUCGGAUGUGAAAGCUCAGGGCUCAACUCUGAGAUGCCAUUCGAUACGGGACGGCUAGAGGUAGGUAGGGGAGAGUGGAAUUCCUGGUGUAGCGGUGAAAUGCGUAGAUAUCGUAAGGAAGACCAGUGGCGAAGGCGGGUCUCUGGACAGUUCCUGACGCUGAGGCACGAAGGUCAGGGGAGCAAACAGG